CCUACGGGAGGCAGCAGUGAGGAAUAUUGGUCAAUGGGCGGAAGCCUGAACCAGCCAAGUAGCGUGCGGGAUGAAGGCCCUACGGGUCGUAAACCGCUUUUGCACGGGGAUAACACCCUCCACGUGUGGAGGUCUGCAGGUACCGUGCGAAUAAGGGUCGGCUAAUUCCGUGCCAGCAGCCGCGGUAAUACGGAGGGGCCGAGCGUUAUCCGGAUUCAUUGGGUUUAAAGGGAGCGUAGGCGGGCGUUCAAGUCAGCUGUAAAAUCGCGGGGCUCAACCGCGCCCCGCAGUUGAAACUGGAAGCCUUGAGUUCACAACAGGCAGGCGGAAUUCGUGGUGUAGCGGUGAAAUGCAUAGAUAUCACGAGGAACCCCGAUUGCGAAGGCAGCCUGCCGGGGUGCGACUGACGCUGAGGCUCGAAGGUGCGGGUAUCAAACAGGAUUAGAUACCCUAGUAGUC
rnacentral:rRNA from 1 species